GAUCACGCCGCUACUGUGUAGCMGCCAAUGGGUGAGUACCACGUGCUUUCAUCUACCUUUUAGAUUGUGAUACCCAAUGGAAACAUUGGUUAAUACGGGAUACGCAUAGAAUCGCAUGAUUCUUUUGUGAAAGGAGCCUUAAAGCUCCACUAGAAGAUGAGGGUGCGGAACAUUAGUUAGUUGGKGAGGUAAUGGCUCACCAAGACUAUGAUGUUUAGCCGGGUCGAAAGACUGAACGGCCACAUUGGGACUGAAAUACGGCCCAAACUCCUACGGGAGGCAGCAGUAGGGAAUAUUCCACAAUGGGCGAAAGCUUGAUGGAGCGACACAGCGUGGACGAUGACGGUCUUCGGAUUGUAAAGUGCUGUUAUAAGGAAAGAAYACUUCAAUGAGGAAAUGCUUUUAAGCUGACGGUACCUUAUCMRAAAAGCGAUGGSUAACUUUGUGCCMRCARCCGCGGUAAUACAUAGGUCGCAAGCGUUAUCCGGAAUUAUUGGGCGUAAAGCGUUCGKARGUUGKUUAUUAARUCUGAAGUCAAAUCCCAGGGCUCAACCCUGGCUCGCUUUGGAUACUGGUAAACUAGAGUUAGAUAGAGGUWARCGGAAUUCCMUGUGAARCGGUGAAAUGCGUAGAUAUAUGGAAGAACACCAAAGGGGAAGGCRGCUUACUGGGUCUAUACUGACACUGAGGGACGACAGCGUGGGGAGCAAACARGAUUAUAUACCCUGGUAGUCCACGCCGYAAACRAUGAUCAUUAGUCGGUGGAGAAUCACUGACGCAGCUAACGCAUUAAAUGAUCCGCCUGAGUARUAUGCUCGCAAGAGUGAAACUUAAAGGAAUUGACGGGGACCCGCACAAGCGGUGGAGCAUGUGGUUUAAAUUUUGAAGAUACACGG
rnacentral:rRNA from 1 species